AACGAACGCUGGCGGCAGGCUUAACACAUGCAAGUCGAACGCCCCGCAAGGGGAGUGGCAGACGGGUGAGUAACGCGUGGGAAUCUACCCAGAUCUUCGGAACAACUGAGGGAAACUUCAGCUAAUACCGGAUACGCCCUACGGGGGAAAGUUUUAUCGGUGUCUGGAUGAGCCCGCGUUGGAUUAGCUAGUUGGUGAGGUAAAGGCUCACCAAGGCGACGAACCAUAGCCGGUCUGAGAGGAUGAUCAACCACACUGGGACUGAGACACGGCCCAGACUCCGACGGGAGGCAGCAGUGGGGAAUAUUGGACAAUGGGCGAAAGCCUGAUCCAGCCAUGCCGCGUGAGUGAUGAAGGCCUUAGGGUUGUAAAGCUCUUUCAGUGGGGAAGAUAAUGACGGUACCCACAGAAGAAGCCCCGGCUAACUUCGUGCCAGCCGCCGCCGUAAGAC
rnacentral:rRNA from 1 species